rnacentral:rRNA from 1 species
CCCUAUGGGGUGCAGCAGCCCCGUCAGCAUUUUGAUGGUAGUGGUUUUCCCGGCGCCGUUCGGCCCCAAAAAACAGAAAAAAGUCCCUGGCUGUAUGUGCAGAUUCAGGGUGUCCACCGCGCAUUUGGGGCCGAAGCGUUUUGUCAGGUUUUCAGUGAGCAUCAUGUACUGCUAAACACUCGCAAUAGGCUGUUUACUUUAGAUGUUACUUUAAAGGAGGUCUUCCUGGGAAUCAAACUUGAUUUUCAAGGUUCUAUUUUGUUUUACGGCUCGGACGUAGUCCUCCUACGGCGGAUAAACCCCGCCCUCCCAAUCUAAUUUAAUCGAAAGAAGCAGGGACAACCAAAGCACUAUAUUGAUAACGAGGUAUUCGAGGCUUAAGGCGACAGUGAGGGCGGGAGGGC